UACAGAGGUCUCAAGCGUUGUUCGGAUUCAUUGGGCGUAAAGGGUGCGUAGGCGGCGCGGUAAGUCGGGUGUGAAAUCUCGGAGCUUAACUCCGAAACUGCAUUCGAUACUGCCGUGCUUGAGGACUGGAGAGGAGACUGGAAUUUACGGUGUAGCGGUGAAAUGCGUAGAUAUCGUAAGGAAGACCAGUGGCGAAGGCGGGUCUCUGGGACGGUACUGACGCUGAGACGCGAAAGCGUGGGGAGCGAACAGG
rnacentral:rRNA from 1 species